rnacentral:rRNA from 1 species
AUGAACGCUGGCGGCGUGCCUAAUACAUGCAAGUCGAGCGAACGGAUGAGAAGCUUGCUUCUCUGAUGUUAGCGGCGGACGGGUGAGUAACACGUGGAUAACCUACCUAUAAGACUGGGAUAACUUCGGGAAACCGGAGCUAAUACCGGAUAAUAUUUUGAACCGCAUGGUUCCAAAGUGAAAGACGGUCUUGCUGUCACUUAUAGAUGGAUCCGCGCUGCAUUAGCUAGUUGGUAAGGUAACGGCUUACCAAGGCAACGAUGCAUAGCCGACCUUGAGGGUGAAAGGGCAAACUGGAAAGGGGAAAAGGGCCCAAAUCCCAAGGGGGGGAAGAGUGGGGAAAUUUGCACAAAGGGGGAAAGCCCGAACGAGGCAAACCGGGGGGGGGAAGAAGGGCUUUGGGUUCUAAAAACCUUUUUAUGAGGAAAAAAAAAAGGGGAAAGAAAAGGGGAAAAUCUGAAGGGAACCAAAGAAAAAACCACGGAUAAAUUAGGG